GAUCCUCCCACCCUUUGUGUACCUACCUCUGUUGCUUUGGCGGGCCGCGGCCCUCCGCGGCCGCCCCCCUCCCCGGGGGGGUGGCCAGCGCCCGCCAGAGGACCAUCAAACUCCAGUCAGUAAACGAUGCAGUCUGAAAAACAUUUAAUAAACUAAAACUUUCAACAACGGAUCUCUUGGUUCUGGCAUCGAUGAAGAACGCAGCGAAAUGCGAUAAGUAAUGUGAAUUGCAGAAUUCAGUGAAUCAUCGAAUCUUUGAACGCACAUUGCGCCCUUUGGUAUUCCGAAGGGCAUGCCUGUUCGAGCGUCAUUACAACCCUCAAGCUCUGCUUGGUAUUGGGCACCGUCCUUUGCGGGCGCGCCUCAAAGACCUCGGCGGUGGCGUCUUGCCUCAAGCGUAGUAGAACAUACAUCUCGCUUCGGAGSGCAGGGCGUCGCCCGCCGGACGAACCUUCUGAACUUUUCUCAAGGUUGACCUCGGAUCAGGUAGGGAUACCCGCUGAACUUAAGCAUAUCAAUAAGCGGAGGA
rnacentral:rRNA from 1 species